CUCGGGAGACGCCGCUGGCUCUCUAGGAACACCUGGGGACCGUGGCCAGGGACGACCCAGCCUCCUUCUCCUCAGCUCCUCAGGAACGACUGGGGAAGCUGUGGCUUCAUGGUCCCCGAGGCUGCCCGAGGAAAGACAGAGUCUCAACCAGGCUGGAGUGCAGUGGCGUGAUCUCGGCUCAUUGCAACCUCCGCCUCCCAGGUUCAAGCGAUUCUCCUGCCUCAGCCUCCUGAGUAGCUGGUAUUACAGGUAUUUCAGGACAGCCAGGAGGGGGCGCACAUCCGCCGAGAAACUGUGAGCAAGAGCGUCUGUGCUGAACCAUGGCGCCACCAGAGGGCGCGCGAUCCCGCCCCAACCAACUUCCCGCUGAAGUGCCAGAAGCAGCGAGGAGCUUCAACUUCCUCAGGGCAGCACGGGGGUCGUGUUAAUUUGGUGUUCUUCAUUGGUUGUUGGAACGUAAUAAGAGUUAAUGUGUGGUCUCUGCUGCAGUGUCCUGAAACAGAGCGCUAAGCCUUGGGAAUGUACGAAGUAAUGUGUCUUUCGUACGCUAAUGAAAUGAUUGAUGGCUGGGGGCACCUGGACAGCCUCAGUGGGGCUGGC
rnacentral:lncRNA from 10 species